AUUGAACGCUGGCGGCAUGCUUUACACAUGCAAGUCGAACGAGUGGCGGACGGGUGAGUAAUAUAUCGGAACGUGCCGGGUAGAGGGGGAUAACUAAUGGAAAGGUUAGCUAAUACCGCAUAUUAUCCGAGGGGCCGAUAUGUGAUUAGCUAGUUGGUGGGGUAAAGGCCUACCAAGGCGACGAUCGGUAGCGGGUCUGAGAGGAUGAUCCGCCACACUGGGACUGAGACACGGCCCAGACUCCUACGGGAGGCAGCAGUGGGGAAUAUUGGACAAUGGGCGCAAGCCUGAUGCAGCCAUGCCGCGUGUCUGAAGAAGGCCUUAGGGUUGUAAAGUACUUUUGUCAGGGAGGCGGUACCUGAAGAAUAAGCACCGGCUAACUCCGUGCCAGCCGCCGCGGUAAUAC
rnacentral:rRNA from 1 species